rnacentral:lncRNA from 1 species
ACUACAUGAUGUGUAUGAAAUUUUAAUUUAAAAAUUUUAUAUCUAAAUUGAUCAAGAGAUUUUUUGAUAUUAUUGUUGAGAUUGUUAAUGAAAAAUUGAUAUCUUUAGAUUAAGAUAAAAGAUCUGAUUUAUAUUUAUUCGAGAUUAUGGGAUCCAUAUGAAUUUGUAAAUUAAAAAUUUUGGAUUUAGAAAUUGAUAUGGAGUUCCUUUGCUUUUGUUAACGAGGUCCUUAAUUGAAUCUAUUAUUAAAUAGAGAUUUAAUCCUUUGAGGAUUGUAUGAUUGUUA